UAAUAACAAAAUGAAAGGAAAUCUGAACUACAGAGAAGAAAAGGCAAAAGAAUUUUUACGUCAAGGUUUUGUAAAGGAGAUCGGUUUGUUCGACUAUGACGCUUGGUGUGGCCUUGAUACCCGAUUGAAUGCUUCAACCUUCCAGUGUAUACCCAGAUUCUUGAGACUCCAUUUCACCUUCAUCACGGGUUUCCCUUAUUUCAGAUACCUUUGCGCUUGCAAAAAUGGGUUAUUGUUGCUGAGUUCAAAGCGGAAAUGGCGGAAUCUGAACCAAUACGAAUCAAAAUCGAAUCAAGGAUCCAUGCAUCUUGUUUGACGAAUCAACAUGAACGAGUUUCGCAGGCUUUGUAUGCGGAUGACAUGUUGAUGAGGCUAAUGAAAAGCAGAGAGGGUUUGUUUCGAGUUUAGUUUGUUGAGUUGUAGAUCGGAAACCGGCAGAGAUGAACGGUGGUUGGAAGUUGUCGUGGUCGAAGACGACGAGAAGAUCUGGGUUAAUGGGUGUUGGAUAGUUGGUGGUUAAGAGGUUCGUCGGCGGUGAAGAGAUGGAGGGUGGGGCGAGGGUUUUGUUGGUUUGAGUGGAAGGAAGAUGAAGGGGUUGUUUAGGGGGUUUCGUCGGUGGGUUUUGUGAAGGUGAUUGGAGCUGAAGGAGAGGUGGAUUUAGGAUUUGGUAGUGGUUGAAGGAGAUUGAAGGUGGUGGUUUGGUGGUAGCGUCUGGGUUUUGAAGAGAGUGGAGGGCGCUCUAUCAGUGAGGCGGCUGAAGGUGAGGGUUUGUGAGGUUUUUUUUCUGUGAGAGAUUUUCUGUUGUGAGCGUAUUGUGAGGAAUAUGAGAGGGUGGGAG
rnacentral:lncRNA from 1 species